AGAGUUUGAUCAUGGCUCAGGAUGAACGCUGGCGGCGUGCCUAACACAUGCAAGUCGAACGGGAAUCUUCGGAUUCUAGUGGCGGACGGGUGAGUAACGCGUAAGAAUCUAACUUCAGGACGGGGACAACAGUUGGAAACGACUGCUAAUACCCGAUGUGCCGCGAGGUGAAACCUAAUUGGCCUGAAGAAGAGCUUGCGUCUGAUUAGCUAGUUGGUGGGGUAAAGGCCUACCAAGGCGACGAUCAGUAGCUGGUCUGAGAGGAUGAGCAGCCACACUGGGACUGAGACACGGCCCAGACUCCUACGGGAGGCAGCAGUGGGGAAUUUUCCGCAAUGGGCGAAAGCCUGACGGAGCAACGCCGCGUGAGGGAGGAAGGUCUUUGGAUUGUAAACCUCUUUUCUCAAGGAAGAAGUUCUGACGGUACUUGAGGAAUCAGCCUCGGCUAACUCCGUGCCAGCAGCCGCGGUAAUACGGGGGAGGCAAGCGUUAUCCGGAAUUAUUGGGCGUAAAGCGUCCGCAGGUGGUCAGCCAAGUCUGCUGUCAAAUCAGGUUGCUUAACGACCUAAAGGCGGUGGAAACUGGCAGACUGGAGAGCAGUAGGGGUAGCAGGAAUUCCCAGUGUAGCGGUGAAAUGCGUAGAGAUUGGGAAGAACAUCGGUGGCGAAAGCGUGCUACUGGGCUGUAUCUGACACUCAGGGACGAAAGCUAGGGGAGCGAAAGGGAUUAGAUACCCCUGUAGUCCUAGCCGUAAACGAUGGAUACUAGGCGUGGCUUGUAUCGACCCGAGCCGUGCCGAAGCUAACGCGUUAAGUAUCCCGCCUGGGGAGUACGCACGCAAGUGUGAAA
rnacentral:rRNA from 1 species